UACGGAGGAUCCGAGCGUUAUCCGGAUUUAUUGGGUUUAAAGGGAGCGUAGGUGGAUUGUUAAGUCAGUUGUGAAAGUUUGCGGCUCAACCGUAAAAUUGCAGUUGAAACUGGCAGUCUUGAGUACAUUAGAGGUGGGCGGAAUUCGUGGUGUAGCGGUGAAAUGCUUAGAUAUCACGAAGAACUCCGAUUGCGAAGGCAGCUCACUGGACUGCAACUGACACUGAGGCUCGAAAGUGUGGGUAUCAAACAGG
rnacentral:rRNA from 1 species